rnacentral:SRP_RNA from 1 species
GCCAGGCACAGUGGUGUGUGCCUGCAGUUCCAGCUACUUGGGAGCCUGAGGUUCGAGGAUCGCUUGAGCCCUGGAGUUCUGGGCUGCAGUGCACUAUACCAAUCAGGUGUUUGCACUAAGUUCAACAUCAAUAUGGUGACCUCCUGGAAGUCGGGGGCCACCAGAUUGCCUAAGGAGGGGUGAACUGGCCCAGGUCAGAAGCAGAGCAGGUCAAAACUCCUGUGCUGAUCAGUGGUGGGAUUAUGCCUGUGAAUAGCCACUGCACUUCAGCCUGGAUAACAUAUUGAGACCCUGU